rnacentral:rRNA from 1 species
GCAAGCCUGAUGCAGCCAUGCCGCGUGUGUGAAGAAGGCCUUCGGGUUGUAAAGCACUUUCAGCGGGGAGGAAGGCGGUGAGGUUAAUAACCUCAUCGAUUGACGUUACCCGCAGAAGAAGCACCGGCUAACUCCGUGCCAGCAGCCGCGGUAAUACGGAGGGUGCAAGCGUUAAUCGGAAUUACUGGGCGUAAAGCGCACGCAGGCGGUCUGUCAAGUCGGAUGUGAAAUCCCCGGGCUCAACCUGGGAACUGCAUUCGAAACUGGCAGGCUAGAGUCUUGUAGAGGGGGGUAGAAUUCCAGGUGUAGCGGUGAAAU